rnacentral:rRNA from 1 species
GAUGAACGCUGGCGGCGUGCCUAAUACAUGCAAGUCGAGCGAACAGACGAGGAGCUUGCUCCUUUGACGUUAGCGGCGGACGGGUGAGUAACACGUGGGUAACCUACCUAUAAGACUGGGAUAACUUCGGGAAACCGGAGCUAAUACCGGAUAAUAUUUCGAACCGCAUGGUUCGAUAGUGAAAGAUGGCUUUGCUAUCACUUAUAGAUGGACCUGCGCCGUAUUAGCUAGUUGGUAAGGUAACGGCUUACCAAGGCAACGAUGCGUAGCCGACCUGAGAGGGUGAUCGGCCACACUGGAACUGAGACACGGUCCAGACUCCUACGGGAGGCAGCAGUAGGGAAUCUUCCGCAAUGGGCGAAAGCCUGACGGAGCAACGCCGCGUGAGUGAUGAAGGUCUUCGGAUCGUAAAACUCUGUUAUUAGGGAAGAACAAACGUGUAAGUAACUAUGCACGUCUUGACGGUACCUAAUCAGAAAGCCACGGCUAACUACGUG